rnacentral:rRNA from 1 species
AUUGAACGCUGGCGGCAGGCCUAACACAUGCAAGUCGGACGGUAGCACAGAGGAGCUUGCUCCUCGGGUGACGAGUGGCGGACGGGUGGGUAAUGUCUGGGGAUCUGCCCGAUAGAGGGGGAUAACCACUGGAAACGGUGGCUAAUACCGCAUAACGACGCAAGACCAAAGAGGGGGACCUUCGGGCCCCUCACUAUCGGAUGAACCAAGAUGGGAUUAGCUAGUAGGCGGGGUAACGGCCCACCUAGGCGACGAUCCCUAGCUGGUCUGAGAGGAUGACCAGCCACACUGGAACUGAGACACGGUCCAGACUCCUACGGGAGGCAGCAGUGGGGAAUAUUGCACAAUGGGCGCAAGCCUGAUGCAGCCAUGCCGCGUGUAUGAAGAAGGCCUUCGGGUUGUAAAGUACUUUCAGCGGGGAGGAAGGCGAUGUGGUUAAUAACCGCGUCGAUUGACGUUACCCGCAGAAGAAGCACCGGCUAACUCCGUGCCAGCAGCCGCCGUAA